CACACACACACACACACACACACACACACACACACGAACAUUCCCCAGUUGUGAAGUCAUCCACCAGAGCUUUGUUCAGCGUCUGCUGUACUGUAUGUUCUUUUAUGUGCUCCCGCUCUUUUUUUUUUCCACGAUCCCCUUCAGUCUGUGAUGAGGUUGUGCAAUUUUGCAAUUGAAACUGUGAUUUUGAAGAUAACUGUAGAACAGUGCAAUUAUUAAUUUGUGAUUUAAUCCCCAGUGCUGUUGUACCUUAAUGCUCAUCGUCAACUUUUUGUUUUACGCGUUGCUGUGAAUGGAUGGAGGGAGGGAUGUUUUGACAGAAGGAGGAAAAUAAUACAAUUCAUGAUUACAGCUGUCUUUCUCAAAGAGGAUCCUCCCACUCCCAUGCGCAGUUCAGAAUUUUUUUCAUGCUCCUCCACACCCUUUGUCCUCUUUGCGAGGGAGGCAAGCUUGUCCCGUGUGACGCAACGCUGGUAAAUGCCUCCGCUGCGCGUGUCAAACAUCUAUUUUGCAAGUGUUUAUUAAACACAUCAAAGUCUCCCUUUCUCCGUUGCCCUCUGGAGCAUCUUCAAGGACUUCAUGUGGCAUACUUUCCACUCCAGUUGUGAUGUCAUGUACCGUUCCAGGCAUUUGUGCUUCCGAAGGUCGUGAUCGCGCAACAUACGCUCCAGGGUCACAUUGGAAGCACCAUUUUAGGAGCUCCUCCCACAGAAGUAUUUAACAACAGCCUUCUGCCUUGCAAAUGAACUUUGGUGACUUAAGGGAAUCAUGAAAAAAACUGCGUAAAUUUCCUCUUGAUCAUCCUCAAGAAUGUCUGACUUCAUUUUGUCUAGACCAUGCCUCUUUAUUACAUUUUUCUUAAAAUCAGCAUCUUGAUUCCCAUUCUUUCAGUUUGACUUUGGUGCACUUUGCUUCUGUGUUGCGCAAUCCUCGAAGGAAAUGCAGUACUGUACACACCAACAGACGUGUUUUCCCUGUGGGUUAUCACAAUGCACCAUGAAAUAAAAUGGGUUGUCCAAAUGAGGCUACAAAUGCA